rnacentral:lncRNA from 1 species
CCCCCUUCUUUUAAGUCUUUGGUGACUACUCUUCUUGUAGGAAAGAGUACCAUCAAGAUGGAUGAGAUCGCUUCUGUACUUCUCUAGAAUGAGAGGUUCUUAGAUGAAAGAAUCGAGCCUCAAGUUCAGGUGGUGACUCGACUUUGGCAGUGACUAGAGGUGGUGGUGGUAGAGGAUAAAGGGGUAGAGGAUCGUAAGGUGGACGGUCCAGAUCCAAGUCAAGAGACUACAGUAAGAUUAGAUGCUACUGGUAUGAUGAGUUGAGGCAUCGUCAGAGAUUGCCCACAACUCAUAAAUCG